CCAUAAAAUCCCUUGCAUCAGUAUCUAAAUCAGUACUGGCUUGAAUAACAGGGAGAGUGUGUGUACAUGGGGGCUGGAAACCCAGGGAGACCACCUUGGAACUCUGACCUCAUGCACCUACUUGUGGAGAAGCCGAGAGGCCCAAAUGAACAAGAGUAUGGAAAAUACCCAGCACACAGCAAGCAAGUUCCAGGUGGACUCUGUCUCUGAAAGAAGUCAGGAGAGGUGGGAGAUGCAACACUAGCGGAGAAGGAAGGAGAACAUGGGACACAUCUGAGAACUUCCCUGGAUCCUGGUUCGGAAAAUGCAGCGUAUG
rnacentral:lncRNA from 1 species